GGACUUAAAACCUGACGGCUUUAGCAUCAGGUAGCAGUGAAAGCUGCGGGAGGAUGAAAAUCCGUUGACCGUAAAAG
rnacentral:tRNA from 1 species